UGAUAUAAUUUUAAACACAUUUUCUGAUAUUUUAAUACAUACUUUAUAGCAUCUAUCAUUGUCUGACAUUCAAGUUUGUAAGUAAAGGUGUCCACUGUGGCAUUAUUACUUUUUUUAAAUCAGAAUUUUACUGAUCAACCAAAAAUAAAAAUGAUAUUGUGAAAGCAUUUGGCUAUAUCAAUCCAGCCCUAGGUUUUGGCUACAUUAUGUUCCUCUGCUAGAAUGUCGUACAGCAAAAGAGGGCGAGAAGAUGUAAGAAUUCUGUUCUUAUUUCCAAAGAGAAUACAGCAAAUGUAUCUGUCUAAAUAUUUAAUCUUAACUGUCCUUUCCUCGGCUGACAGGUGAAAAAUCUACAGGAACUAGAGAGGGAGAGGGACGCACUGUGUCAGGGGCUUCAGGCUUUGGAACAGGCUUGGGCCUCCCUCUCCUAUAGACAGGAAAACAGCCCUAGGCAGGAAAUAAGCACUGCCCCUCUGUGGGCUCAGAUGCAGAGGAUAAACAGAACAUUGCACAGUCUAAUGUGUAGCACUCCCAGGAGUCCCAUGGGACGAGUGACGCCACGUUUCUGAAGUUUGCCCAGAUGAAACUGAUGAAUCAGUGACAAACUGAAGAUUUUUUCACUCUCUUCCCUUAUGUGUUUUUCUUUAUGACUAAACUGUAAUAAAAUGAAGCACCAAUAA